GUCUACGGCCGUACUAUCCUGAACGCUCCCGGUCUCGUCUGAUCUCGAAAGCUAAGCAGGGUCGGGCCUGGUUAGUACUUGGAUGGGAGACCGCCGGGGAAUACCGGGUGCUGUAGGCU